GACUUUGUGAAACGUGGAUAGGUGUGUGAGAACUGGAUUAUUGUUGAUGUUCCUUCUGUCAUUCACUUGUCGAAGUAAUAUAUUUGUUUUUGUUAUUUUCAAAAUCCUUUCACUAUGCCCAAGGUGAAAGUGAAUCUAUGUGGGUUUUGUUUUAAAUUUCAUUAUCAUUAAUAAAAUGUUAUUUCAUUUAUCCAUAUCAUGUUUUUCC
rnacentral:lncRNA from 1 species